AUCAGUGGCGAACGGGUGAGUAACACGUGAGCAACCUGCCCCUGACUCUGGGAUAAGCGCUGGAAACGGCGUCUAAUACCGGAUAUGAGCUGCGAUCGCAUGGUCGGCAGUUGGAAAGAUUUUUCGGUCUGGGAUGGGCUCACGGCCUAUCAGCUUGUUGGUGAGGUAAUGGCUCACCAAGGCGUCGACGGGUAGCCGGCCUGAGAGGGUGACCGGCCACACUGGGACUGAGACACGGCCCAGACUCCUACGGGAGGCAGCAGUGGGGAAUAUUGCACAAUGGGCGGAAGCCUGAUGCAGCAACGCCGCGUGAGGGAUGACGGCCUUCGGGUUGUAAACCUCUUUUAGCAGGGAAGAAGCGAAAGUGACGGUACCUGCAGAAAAAGCGCCGGCUAACUACGUGCCAGCAGCCGCGGUAAUACGUAGGGCGCAAGCGUUAUCCGGAAUUAUUGGGCGUAAAGAGCUCGUAGGCGGUUUGUCGCGUCUGCUGUGAAAUCCCGAGGCUCAACCUCGGGUCUGCAGUGGGUACGGGCAGACUAGAGUGCGGUAGGGGAGAUUGGAAUUCCUGGUGUAGCGGUGGAAUGCGCAGAUAUCAGGAGGAACACCGAUGGCGAAGGCAGAUCUCUGGGCCGUUACUGACGCUGAGGAGCGAAAGGGUGGGGAGCAAACAGGCUUAGAUACCCUGGUAGUCCACCCCGU
rnacentral:rRNA from 1 species